UUUUUUGGAACAUCCCGGGUAUCGGUAACGUCUUAGAAACCGAUGGCAUAACUGCACUCAUCAAGGUUUGACGGUUAUUUGCUCUCAUAUUUUUUGCGAAGGGAAUUGUUGUGUAGGCAGCCUUGCAGCUAUGGGAUAUGAGAUUAAUGGCACUUUUUGGUUCAACAUUUUACCUCCUUCAUUGUUGGCAGACUUUGUGAGGGACAGACACGGGCUUACCAAUUUCAGAUUUUCUUAG
rnacentral:lncRNA from 1 species